UGCACUUUUAUUGGUUAUAAUUGGCUGCAAUCGAAGAUUAUAAACGCGUUUUUAUAAACAAUAAAUAUAAAUAAAUUUACACGAUCUAAUCUAUGAUUCUUGCCGUGAUCAAUUUUUGAGAUGUAUCGGUCAAUUCAGGUUAGCAAUUGAAAACACAUAUAGCCAAAUAUCGUUUAUCAGUUCGGUUCACCUAAAAUAUAAACGAUAAUAAUAAUUAAGGUUGAUUAGCUUGAUGAAGCCAUAUAUGAAGCCACAUGAAGCCAAACUCUGCGCAGCACAUUAUAGCAUCCAUUCAAAACAUAAACAGUCUCCAGGCACUGCCAACUACAACACGCAACAAAAGGAAAAGCUCGGUCAACUUACGGGUCAAUAGGUUUCGUUUACGUGUAUAGCCUAAUUGUAUACACCUUAAGGUAAUUCCUUACGUUCAGAAGUUUUAAUGGAGAUUGAGUUUUUCUUGUUCAUGGGUAGCUGAUAAUCAAGGUUAUUAAUGCAUAAGAUAAACUGAAAGAUGUAGAACAUAUACAGAAUGAGAAAUGUGUACCUGAAAAUAGCACCAAAUAGAAAAUAGACUUCCAAUUGGGAAGCCAUUUAAAUUUUCUUAACAUACGGAAUUGCCUUAAUUUUUAUAUCGAAAAAGAACCUAUUCAAAAGAGCCGGAAAAAGUACACGACCAACUCGAAACACGAGUUGAAUUAUUCAAACAGUCGAAAUGAUAACAAAACAACAAGACUAAAAUUCGAAGCAACAAAAAUCAAUUUCGCUUCGGAUACGUAGCCAGAUGAACAUCUAAUACAAGUGUCAAAUCACCCUAUAUGGUCGCCCGAAAGUGACGUUGCAAAAUGCCUGAUAAAACCAAAAAUGGGAAUGGGCAUCUUGUCAAAGAUGGAGGCUGGGGAUGGAUUAUUGUAGGAUCAUCGUUCAUAAUUCAAGCUCUGACAGUAGGAAUCACAUACACAUUUGGAGUUCUAUACGUAGAUUUACUUGACUAUUUUAAAGAGCCUAGAUCUGUGACGUCAUGGAUUGGUUCUAUACAACCAUUCUUGAUGUAUUUCACGGGUAUUGUGGUCGGACCAUUGAUGAAAAGAUUUGGCUGCAGAGCCGUUACUUUCGCAGGUUCCGUUCUCUCAACAAUUGGCUUUCUCACUAGCGCAUUGGUUAAUAACAUCUAUAUUCUCUACUUUACCUAUGGCGUUCUGUCAGGAAUCGGCAAUGGUAUGAUGUAUGUUUCAUCCAUGUUAGUUGUGCAAUAUUACUUCGAGGAAAAACGUGCAUUGGCAACAGGGAUAGCAGUGGCCGGGUCAGGACUGGGGACGCUUGUGUUCGGCUUGUUGACGCGUUAUUUACUUGAUAUGGUCAAGUGGCGCUGGACGCUGGUAAUAGAGGCCGGGUUCCUUCUCCUGGGGACGCUAUGUUCGUUGGUGAUGCUACCAGUCCCCUCUAACGAAGAGGCGGACGACACUGCUUACACUGCAAUUAGUGAUGACCAUGAAACAGUAGCUCUAACAGCAAGUCAAAAGGAAACAAAGGGCGAAAAUGGUGAUAUCAAAACUAAGUAUUAUGAUCCUGACCUCGAGAGACAAUCAAGCCAAUCAAACGGAGUCAACGUUGUAGUUAUGGACAAACAAGGAUGUUGCUCGGGUUGGUGUGAAUCUACAAAAUCAAUGCUAAAAGACAUAUUUGACUUUUCAAUGUUUAAAAAUCCAAUUCUACUGAUUUUCUCAAUAGCAAUGAUGCUGAUAAGUUUGGGAUACCACGCACCGUUCACCUACACACCAGACAGAGCAAUAUCGUUAGGAAUCGACCCAGAGAGGGCCUCGUUUUUAGUGUCCAUUAUUGGCAUCGCUAAUGUGUCGGGGAGAAUUAUUUUUGGCUGGAUUGGAAAUGCUAGCGAAAAGUCCCGACACAUUCUUGCGGGUGUAUCUAUACUGAUCUGCGGAGCGUCAACAAUAUGCAGCCCAAUAUUUACGACAUACCCACUUAUGGCAGUAUAUGCAGCAAUAUUUGGUGCAACAACAGGUUGCUACUUUUCCCUGUUUGUUGUUAUACUGGUUGACCUACUUGGUGUCGACGUUGUAGAUAAAUCACUGGGACUCGUGAUGGGAGUAUCUUCUAUCGCAUUCCUCAUAGCAUCUCCAUUCUCAGGAUGGUUAAUUGAUCUAACUGGAACAUUCGACACGCCUUUCUACGUCGUCGGAGGAGUUAUGGUGCUUGGAGGGUUAAUGUUCCUCUCGACUAUGUGUAUCAAAAAGGCAAUGAUGAAACGGCAGCUUGAGGAACAACGAAGUCUCUUGCGGGCUAAAAGGAGGCUCAGAAAACGGACGGCGUCAUGGUCGAUGUAGUAGUCCAACAUAGCGUAAUCUAGAAGCCAACAUACUAUAUAUAAGAAAAGAAUGUCAUCAAUGACUUCGUCGAAGAGACUAUGGAAGGGGAAUUAAACUUCUCCGUUGGCGAGUAAAUAUCUGAGAUAUUUGAUGUCAUGAUCCAUCUAGCGGAGACCUUAUUUACUCAUGGUAUCUGAUAAGAAAAAUAGUGCCUACUGUAACCAGAUAUAAAACAAAAUAAAUAUCACAUAUGAAAGUUGUCCAUGACAGGGAACAAUAUAUCGUAUAUGUAAGAGGACAUCUUCGUUAGUGUAUGAGACUAGAAUCAAAUAUUUGGUGCAGUGAAUUGACAGUAAAAUGUAGAUCCAUAUAUUGGGCAAGAAGGAAAGAUAUUUCAAAUGAUUACCGCAAAAAUAUCCAUGACGACCAUAAAAGUUGAAAGUUCUUAACUUCGAAAAACAUGAAUCAGAUGAAAACAAUAUUUAAAAGAAAUAUCGUGGCACCACGGAACUAUAAUCCAGAGAAGCCACUUUUAAAACUACUAGACUCGAGAUUAUGUAAGACGUAAAACAUAACAAAGGUUCCUUGUAUUUUAAUGAUUUAAUAUUAAUAUAAACAUUAUAUGCAUUCUGUUUUAAAUGAUUUAAAAUUUUGUCAUAGUCUACAAGAAUUCAUUUCAUUAAAAGUUUACCAACUUAGUCUGAGAAGAUGAAAUACGGACAAGACCAUACAUAAUAGGAACUGAUGUCCGGACU
rnacentral:misc_RNA from 1 species